rnacentral:rRNA from 1 species
GGAGUGCUUGCCUCGCUGACGAGUGGCGGACGGGUGAGUAAUACUUAGGGAUCUGCCUUCGGGAGGGGGAUAACCAUUGGAAACGAUGGCUAAUACCGCAUAACGUCUACGGACCAAAGGGGGCUUCGGCUCUCACCUGAAGAGGAACCUAAGCGAGAUUAGCUUGUUGGUGAGGUAAAGGCUCACCAAGGCGACGAUCUCUAGCUGUUCUGAGAGGAAGAUCAGCCACACUGGGACUGAGACACGGCCCAGACUCCUACGGGAGGCAGCAGUGGGGAAUAUUGCACAAUGGGGGAAACCCUGAUGCAGCCAUGCCGCGUGUGUGAAGAAGGCCUUCGGGUUGUAAAGCACUUUCAGUCGUGAGGAAAGGUUAGUAGUUAAUACCUGCUAGCUGUGACGUUAACGACAGAAGAAGCACCGGCUAACUCCGUGCCAGCAGCCGCGGUAAUACGGAGGGUGCGAGCGUUAAUCGGAAUUACUGGGCGUAAAGCGCACGCAGGCGGAUUGUUAAGCUAGAGGUGAAAGCCCCGCGCUCAACGUGGGAAUUGCCUUUAGAACUGGCAGUCUAGAGUCUUGGAGAGGGGAGUGGAAUUCCAGGUGUAGCGGUGAAAUGCGUAGAGAUCUGGAGGAACAUCAGUGGCGAAGGCGACUCCCUGGCCAAAGACUGACGCUCAUGUGCGAAAGUGUGGGUAGCGAACAGGAUUAGAUACCCUGGUAGUCCACACCGUAAACGCUGUCUACUAGCUGUUUGUGUAUUAUAUACGUGAGUAGCGAAGCUAACGCGCUAAGUAGACCGCCUGGGGAGUACGGCCGCAGGUUAAAACUCAAAUGAAUUGA